rnacentral:rRNA from 1 species
GACGAACGCUGGCGGCGUGCUUAACACAUGCCAGUCGAACGCUGAAGCUCAGCUUUUGUUGGGUGGAUGAGUGGCGAGCGGGUGAGUAACACGUGAGUAACCUGCCCCCUUCUUUGGGAUAACGCCCGGAAACGGGUGCUAAUACUGGAUAUUCACUGGUCUUCGCAUGGGGGUUGGUGGAAAGGGUUUUUCUGGUGGGGGAUGGGCUCGCGGCCUAUCAGCUUGUUGGUGGGGUGAUGGCCUACCAAGGCUUUGACGGGUAGCCGGCCUGAGAGGGUGACCGGUCACAUUGGGACUGAGAUACGGCCCAGACUCCUACGGGAGGCAGCAGUGGGGAAUAUUGCACAAUGGGCGCAAGCCUGAUGCAGCGACGCCGCGUGAGGGAUGGAGGCCUUCGGGUUGUGAACCUCUUUCGCUCAUGGUCAAGCCGCAACAAUGGUUGUGGUGAGGGUAGUGGGUAAAGAAGCGCCGGCUAACUACGUG